rnacentral:rRNA from 1 species
GAUGAACGCUGGCGGCGUGCUUAACACAUGCAAGUCGAACGGGAAUUAUUUUAUUGAAACUUCGGUCGAUUUAAUUUAAUUCUAGUGGCGGCCGGGUGAGUAACGCGUGGGUAACCUGCCUUAUACAGGGGGAUAACAGUCAGAAAUGGCUGCUAAUACCGCAUAAGCGCACAGAGCUGCAUGGCUCAGUGUGAAAAACUCCGGUGGUAUAAGAGGGACCCGCGUUGGAUUAGCUUGUUGGCAGGGUAACGGCCUACCAAGGCGACGAUCCAUAGCCGGCCUGAGAGGGUGAACGGCCACAGUGAGACUGAGACACGGCCCAGACUCCUACGAGAGACAGCAGUGGGGAAUAUUUAACAGUGGGAGAAACACUGAUACACCGACGCCGCGUGAAGGAAGAAGUAUCUCGGUAAGGAAACAGCACUCAGCAGGGAAGAUAGUGACGGUACCUGACAAAGAAGCCCCGGCUAACUACGUG